UACAGAGGUCCCAAGCGUUGUUCGGAUUCACUGGGCGUAAAGGGUGCGUAGGUGGUCGGGUAAGUCUGAUGUGAAAUCUCCGAGCUUAACUCGGAAAUGGCAUUGGAUACUAUUCGGCUAGAGGGUUUGAGGGGGACUGGAAUACUUGGUGUAGCAGUGAAAUGCGUAGAUAUCAAGUGGAACACCAGUGGCGAAGGCGAGUCCCUGGAAAACUCCUGACACUGAGGCACGAAAGCUAGGGGAGCAAACAGGAGUUAGUAAA
rnacentral:rRNA from 1 species